rnacentral:piRNA from 1 species
UUGUUUAUCAAGCAUGGAUGGUAUGACUA